GACGAACCGUGCAAACGUUGUUCGGAUUCACUGGGCUUAAAGGGCGCGUAGGCGGGCCAUCAAGUCAGGGGUGAAAUCUUUCGGCUCAACCGGAAAAGUGCCUUUGAUACUGGUGGUCUCGAGGGAGGUAGGGGCAUGCGGAACUUCCGGUGGAGCGGUGAAAUGCGUAGAUAUCGGAAGGAACGCCGGUGGCGAAGCGGCGAUGCUGGACCUCUCUGACGCUGAGGCGCGAA
rnacentral:rRNA from 1 species